AAUUUUCUUAUUUUCCUUUUUAAUAAAUAAUUUAGGGUAUAUUUUCGGGAUUAGUAUGUUUAAAUAAAUUAUGUCUAAGAGAUUGGAACUUAAGCGGGACCGCUUGUGACCCCUCCAAUCUUUCUUGGGGAUUGAUUGUAACAGAAUUUUUCGAGAAAUUAUUCCCUAAAUAAAAUUAAAUUUUUGGUUUUUCAAAUAAAAAGGGUCAA
rnacentral:lncRNA from 1 species